CCUACGGGGGGCAGCAGUGAGGAAUAUUGGUCAAUGGCCGGAAGGCUGAACCAGCCACGCCGCGUGAAGGUCAGUGCCCUAUGGGUGUUAAACUUCUUUUGUGCGGGAGCAAUAAUGGUCACGUGUGGUCAGACGAGAGUACCGUACGAAUAAGCAUCGGCUAACUCUGUGUCAGCAGCCGCGGUAAUACGGGGGAUGCAAGCGUUAUCCGGAUUUAUUGGGUUUAAAGGGUGCGUAGGCUGGGAGGUAAGUCAGCGGUGAAAUGCCCCCGCUCAACGGGGUGAAGUGCCAUUGAUACUGCCUUGCUGGAGUGCGGAAGCCGUGGGAGGAAUGUGUUGUGUAGCGGUGAAAUGCGUAGAUAUCA
rnacentral:rRNA from 1 species